AUGGUGGCAGCGGGGAGAGCUGCUUCAGAGGUAACACCCUGGGCCUGGAGGAGCUCGAGGUUUGCUGGUGGCCCUGAGGUGCGCCCCACUGCCCAGGGGCAGGGAGGGCUCCUGGCCGCUUGGCAGAUGCCUUGGCACAGCUGGGAGCAGGUCCAGGGGGCGGGUGCCACAGGUGAGCACAAUCAGUGCAGAGGAAACCAUCUCUCCUCUGCGGAGAAGAGCUGGGGAAAGGCAGAGGUCCUCGCAGACCCACCAGCAGGUAAACGCUUGCUGGUGUUAGGACCUGGGGACUGGGCCGGCAGGGCCCCACUUCCCGCACCCCAUCUCCAGAUCUGCAGGAAGUCCUAUGAGCUGGACAACCUCCUGCGUGGGGCAAGACGUGAGCUCCAGUUCUUCGUCUCCAACCCGGAUCCAGACAUUCUGCUUUUCUGGAGGGCGCUCAGCCGUGCUGUUAUUUCAUACCUAAAACCAGAGAGCAGAGCUCCAUUCGGUACAGCUGAUGGGUCCCUUACCCUCCUACCUGUCAACAGUGCACUGGGAAUGACCCCAUCGGUGCGAGACAGAAGAGCAAGCCAUGAUGGUGUGUCUCAUUUUAAUGUAAGCUGUGAGGAAGUAUUUCAUUUGCUGCUCUGA
rnacentral:lncRNA from 1 species